UACGAAGGUCCCAAGCGUUAUCCGGAUUUAUUGGGUUUAAAGGGUGCGUAGGCGGGUUAUUAAGUCAGUGGUGAAAGCCUACAGCUUAACUGUAGAAUUGCCAUUGAUACUGAUAAUCUUGAGUAUGAUUGAGGUGGGCGGAAUGUGUCAUGUAGCGGUGAAAUGCUUAGAUAUGACACAGAACACCGAUUGCGGAGGCAGCUCACUAAGUCAUAACUGACGCUGAUGCACGAAAGCGUGGGGAGCAAACAGG
rnacentral:rRNA from 1 species